rnacentral:tRNA from 1 species
GCAGUCGUGGCCUUCUGGUUAGGGCUUCGGGCUUGGAACCGAAGGGUUGCCGGUUCGAUCCCCGACCAAUGGG